rnacentral:rRNA from 1 species
UACGUAGGUGGCAAGCGUUGUCCGGAAUUAUUGGGCGUAAAGCGCGCGCAGGUGGUUUCUUAAGUCUGAUGUGAAAGCCCACGGCUCAACCGUGGAGGGUCAUUGGAAACUGGGGAACUUGAGUGCAGAAGAGGAAAGUGGAAUUCCAAGUGUAGCGGUGAAAUGCGUAGAGAUUUGGAGGAACACCAGUGGCGAAGGCGACUUUCUGGUCCGUACGUAUGACACUGAGGCGCGAAAGCGUGGGGAGCGAACAGG